AUGAAACAAGACAUCCAGAAGUAUGUCAAACACUGCACUGUUUGUCAACAAGCGAAAUCCUAGCAUAUCAGGAAACCGGGUCUCCUCAGUCCUUUGCCAUUGCCGAAAGAAGCUUGGAACUUAGUUACUAUGGAUUUCAUUGGUGGUCUUCCUAAAAGAAAACAAUUUGACACUAUUCUAGUGGUCACCGAUAAAUUCAGUAAAUAUGGGCAUUUUCUUCCUCUUGCCCAUCCAUUUACCGCGUUACAAGUGGAUCAAGUAUACCUCGACAACAUAUACAAAUUGCAUGGCCUCCCUCAGGUCCUGGUGACUGACCGAGACCCUAUCUUCACUAGUACUCUCUGGUAGGAACUAUGCAGGUUAUCAGGUAUCAAAAUGAACAUGAGCUUCGCAAGUCACCCUAAAACAGAUGGACAGUCGGAAAAACUGAAUCAAUGUUUGGAAACUUUCCUUCGGUGCAUGGUUAAUUCUGCAUCGGAAGUGGGCUCAUUGGUUACCUCAAGCGGAAUAUUGGUACAACACUAAUUACCAUUCAGCUUUGGGCAAAACACCAUUCAAGUUCUUUACGGCUAUCAGCCAAGGCACUUGGGUGUUGCCAACCUACAUAGUUUUUUGUCCUCUGGUUCGUCUAGAUGGCUAGCUGAAAGAAAUAUGAUGCAAGGUCUGAUUCGAGAGCACCUGCUUCGAGCACAACAAUGCAUGAAGGCACAGGAAGACAAACAUCCCUUUGAUAAGAAAUUUUCUGUUGGUGACAGGGCAUUCCUCAAACUACAACCUUAUGUUCAACAAUCAGUGGUAAGACAAUCUAAUCACAAGCUAGGGUUCAAGUACUUUGGGCCUUACAAGAUCACGGAGAAAGUGGGUGAUGUGUCUUACCGCCUCGCUCUCCCGGCGUCAAGUAAAAUACAUCCAGUGGUACAUGUUCCUCUUCUAAAGCCAGCUCAACCGCCAUCCCCUGACCUGCAGACCAAAGAAUCUGUCAAUGUUCUUCAGGAGUUACAUACUCUGCGGCCGGCUCAGGUACUACAAUCCCGUUUGGUGCAGGUGGGCGGCCAUACACGCUCUCAACUGAAGGUAGCAUGGGCAGGUCUACCUAUGUCCAUGGCAAUCUGGGAGUGGUCCCGUGCGCUCAAGCCAACGACAAUGGCUGGAUGA
rnacentral:rRNA from 1 species